rnacentral:lncRNA from 1 species
UGGACCGCUUCCUUGGCACGCCUGGGUGCUUCAUUAUCGGCCCGCUCGGCGCCAGGGGAGAUGCUGCGAUGCGUUGUGGGAGUGUGAAGGCAGGGUUACUGGAGUGAAAAAACCUUGGGCAGCCUCCUUUGGAUAAACCACCUUAUUCCUCCUCCCCGGGGGCAGCGAUCGAUAGGUUACUGCAGGUCUCUGCGCAGAAACUCUCCUCUCAGACCGGCUGCAACACAAGACCACAUCUACGUCAUCCCGGUGUUCACCUGGAUCCUAACUCUUGCCAUCUUACUGGCCCACACAGUCAUCCAGCCAGUCACGUCGCUGCUCACCCUGCUGAAAGGGAUCCUGCUCAUUGUCACGGUGGCUGUGACAUUCGCGGUGGGGUCAGAGGUCGGCCUUCAAAGCAGCAGUGACUUCAGGCAGAUGGGGAAACCUUUCCUAAUGGGCACGGUGGCUCUGGGAGGGAUCGUAAACGUGAUGCCUCUGCUCUUCUCACAGAUCUCACACAACAAAACACAGAUCCUUUGGUUUCGGAGAGCAGUGCUCGGAGGUCUGACAACCUGUACUGUGCUCAACAUCCUCUGGUGCUGGGCGGUGCUGGAAAUCGUCCCCCAGACGUCGUUAUCAGAAAGGCGGACGCCGGCUGAGACGAUGACCCAUCCCGACUCCAGCAUCCCGCCUGGUCCUCCUUCGUCCGUCUCUCCUCUGCUGUACUCCAACAUCUCACUGGAAGAGUCUGAGAAAGCGGGAGAGAUUGCAACUAUUCCACUGACGAAGAUUAUUAAUGAACGUUACAGGGCGUACUCCUGGGUGGCUGAGCUGAUCCAGGUCUUCAUCGCCAUCAGUGUCAGCGUCUCCUUCCUGGUGAUGGGAUCUGCCAUGAAACACACCAUCGACGGCCUGGUGACGGCGCUGUGGAGCAGCAGGCUGGAGUGGCUGUCCAAAGCCUGGGAGAGAAACCUGCCAAACAAACAGCACAUCUGCUCUGCGAGGAGCUUGGCCAAAGGAUUCAUGUCGCUGCUUGGAUUUACUAUCAUUUUUAUCGUAUCAAUGUGUGAUCCCAGGGGUUUUAUCGUCAUGUUGGACAAAGUCGUGUCGUUCUCGCUCAACACUGAAGUCGGCCUGUUUGUCUUCAUCAUGCUGAGAGAAGCCAGAGAGGACAGAUUCCAGCACCUGGCCGUCCCGCUGCCGGUCGGCGACUGCGUCUUCAGCCUCAGCUGGCUGCUGCCCUGCUACUUCCUGUUUGCGGUCACCUACGACGUGCUGCAGACGCUGGCGGACGUGGCUCACUACCUGCACCUGUACAGCCACGGCCUGGAAGCACACGUCCACAACCUGACCGAGAACUUCACGGCAGCCAAUCUGUCCGUCCUGCUCUGA